rnacentral:rRNA from 1 species
GACGAACGCUGGCGGCGUGCUUAGCACAUGCAAGUCGAACGGAAAGGCCCUGCUUUUGUGGGGUGCUCGAGUGGCGAACGGGUGAGUAACACGUGAGUAACCUGCCCUUGACUUUGGGAUAACUUCAGGAAACUGGGGCUAAUACCGGAUAGGAGCUCCUGCUGCAUGGUGGGGGUUGGAAAGUUUCGGCGGUUGGGGAUGGACUCGCGGCUUAUCAGCUUGUUGGUGGGGUAGUGGCUUACCAAGGCUUUGACGGGUAGCCGGCCUGAGAGGGUGACCGGCCACAUUGGGACUGAGAUACGGCCCAGACUCCUACGGGAGGCAGCAGUGGGGAAUAUUGCACAAUGGGCGGAAGCCUGAUGCAGCAACGCCGCGUGCGGGAGGACGGCCUUCGGGUUGUAAACCGCUUUCGCCUGUGACGAAGCGUGAGUGACGGUAAUGGGUAAAGAAGCACCGGCUAACUACGUG